CAGUGAUGUGUUCCAAGUUCUUGCAAUUCUUAGCAUGUUACUCAAUAGAUGUGAUUGGUGCAGCCAGCUCUGAAAGGGACAAACCGCAGUGCCAGUUAGGAGGGAGGGUUGCUACAGAAUUAAGGGAGGGUAGUAGGAGAGUGGUCCUUGUAGGGUGCUGAAGUAAAUGGCCUGCAUUGUGAGGAGGUGCUGGCUGAAAGCUACCUGGUUAAGACAACUUCAACAGCUGAACCCUACCUUAUGACAAAUGUCUUGUUGCAGUGGCCAGAUACUACACUCAAGGCAACUCAGGUUGUCCAGGUCUUAGAUGUAAAGAGGCUGAUUCCUCAGGACUUGGACGGCACAUCGGUAGAGUUAUUGUCUUACAGCGCCAGAGACCUAGGU